UACGUAGGGUCCGAGCGUUGUCCGGAAUUACUGGGCGUAAAGAGCUCGUAGGUGGUUUGUCGUCGUUGUUCGUGAAAACUCACAGCUCAACUGUGGGCGUGCGGGCGAUACGGGCAGACUUGAGUACUGCAGGGGAGACUGGAAUUCCUGGUGUAGCGGUGGAAUGCGCAGAUAUCAGGAGGAACACCGGUGGCGAAGGCGGGUCUCUGGGACGGUACUGACGCUGAGACGCGAAAGCGUGGGGAGCGAACAGG
rnacentral:rRNA from 1 species